AGCUGAGCAUGCGCACAUUCAGGCCGGCACCCCCUCGCCCCCACACCAUCACGAGGCCGCAGUCCACAGGUACCACCUGGCCCCCGUACUUACCUACCCUCCGCCCUGGUUCCAGAGGCGAUGAAAGAAGGUCUGUUGUCCAGGGCAAAGGAUUUUUAUUCAAUCUUUGCACUCCUCCCACCGGGACUCCUCACCCUCCAGAUUCCUCAGAACAGUGGGAGGGGAAGUUACUCCCCCCUAGGCGGAAAGGCAGUUAACAGACGUUCCUCUAUAGAAAGGUGGAGUCUCUGUGUGUUGCCCAUGCUGGCCUUGAACUCUUGGGCUCAAGUAAUUCCCUGCCUUAGCUUCUCAAGUAGCUGGGACUACAGAUUUACAUCACUGCAUGAUGGCUCAAAAAAAACCCUUUUAAAAAUCUGAUUCCUUAUCAAGCCUUGCCCUCUUCUGGUGACCCAGACUGAAAAGAUCAUCAAUUCCUUCACCAUGAAAGUGGUCUGCUAUGCAGUGCCUCCUGCUAUCUUAGUGAGUCAACAGCCAUGGAAUUCAAUAGCCCAGUGGGAUCUGGAUGCACUUUCUGAUAUGGAAACCUACUUAUUAACAAAUAAAUACCUUUUUCUCUGCCAUGUGGCAGGAUGGAGAUCUGUCAUUAUCCAAGCAGAAGCUGCAAAUGGAUAGGAUGAACAUCAACCUACCUGCAAUGCAUCCAAGGUCUGCAAAGACAUGGCUUCCUUCCCCAGCCUCCGAUAGGAGUACACUUGAAGAGAACUACCCUGGGAAAUUACGGACUGAGUAAACCCAAAGGCAGCAUGGAGUGCGGGCAGAAGCAUCGGGCCAUCUCCCACCUGGGGUGGGCAUGUGGGAGCCGAGGCCCAGCUGUUUCUGAGCAGGGCAGGUCCAUGAGGAAACUUGGUGUCCAGUUUUGGCUCCAGGGGAGUAGCUUUGACAGUGACCUCCACCCCAUCUUCACUUGAGAGACGCCCCAAAAUAUUUGCUGACAAUGAACUUUAAUCAUUUGGCGGUUGCAGCAGAUCUAAGAGACCUCUGCAGGGUUGCAAUUCUCAGUCUUGGAAUCUGUCCAGCCAUCUCAUAUACCACAACACCAUGACAGAGAGGCCCAGGAAUGAAAGGGAUAAAAACUGGAAAGAAAAAGCCCUACCAUAUAUGUAGUUUGGAAGCCACUUAAAUUGAAAUGGUAAAGAUAAAAUGGCAAUUGCUUCAUAGAGCCAAAGGAUAUUCGUAGGACAAAUUAAUAUUCUCUUUGAAUACAAACAGGUUCAAAGAUAAAAUAAGAAACAGCAGGAUGGUGCUUUGAGGCCAUUCUGAGAGGACUGAAAUUCUAAAAUUCCAGUACAGGAGGUAUUGACUUUAUGAUCUUCUGCUUUGGCCUUCUCAAUUCUGUGGGUAUGAAUAGGAUUUUACCUCAGACAACUUUUUCCAAAUUUUUUUUUAAAAGUGAAGAGAUGAUGGAGAAAAGGAGAGGAAGGAGUGCAGGAGUGAAAAAGAGAGCAAGGAAAGACAGGAGAGCAAGGAAAGACAGGAGAGCAAGGAGGGGGAGAAGGAAGAAGGAAGCCAGACAGGGAUCUCUCUCUCAUCUCUAUCACUUAGAAGCAAAAGCAAGCCCAGCAUUGUGGGUGCUGCGGAAGCAAGGAGGACACAGCACUUUCCCUCCUCUUAGGAAUCAAAGGAGACACAGAGUUGAGUGUUACAAUGUUCUAGGGCAGCCAUCCAAAGGUGGAUCGUUUUAAUAACCUAUAUCUAGGGUCCCAGACAUUUUGCAAUAUGAAACAUGGAGCAAACAUGAUUCCUUUGUAAGAGAGGCCUUGGGACCUAAAAUUGAGCAUGAAACAUGGAGGGAGAUACUCAGGAAAAAGAAGUAUACUGCAACUCAAAAAAUGAGUCAGCUACCAUGACAUUUCAGAGACAACCCAAACUAGGAAAUGGUGAACGACGCUGCCUGAGUCAUGACAAUUGUCUACAGGAAAGGUCAACAAAGCCCACGCCAAAUCUAGUCACCUUUCCACAAGUCUGGGCUGGAAAGUCCCAGACCAGACCAAGGAGAGACUCGCAUGGGGCUCCAGAGUUCCUUCAUAGAAUGGGACCAUUUUAAGACUGAGACCAUUAGGACUGCCAUUUAGUGACAUUUAUUGGACUACAAAAUUUAGAAAAUAAAAAAUUCUGAUCAGACAUCCAUCUAGGCAUGUAUUUCCUCUAGUUUUCUUUUCCCAGUGGUAUGCUUUGGGGAAAGAUGUGUAAUCUAUUUCUGUAGCAUUUCUCAUAUGAUUAUUGUGUAUGUUGCACACAGUGAUAUGUAUAAAGCGCUUAGCAGGAAGUCCAGCCUGCAUCAGAGGCUUAAUAAAUACUUAAUUACUAACUUCUGAAUGGGCAGAAAGGGGGCCUCUCUGUCAUCAGCUGAGCCAGCAGUAAAUACAGAUAAACAAAGAAUCAGACCCAUCGGGGUAGAAGCAUCCCGGUCUAUCUGUCCUGAUGGAGUACUGGGUCUUCAUCUAACAGGCACAUGGUUCACAUCUGUGUUAGCUGACCUUAAAAAGUAUCCAUUCAUUACAUUCUUCUACUCAAAGACACAAGCAUUUCCAAAGCACAGAAUCAUGAAAAACAAAACCAGGAGGUACAA